rnacentral:rRNA from 1 species
UACGUAGGGGGCUAGCGUUGUCCGGAUUUAUUGGGCGUAAAGAGCGUGUAGGCGGCCAGGUAGGUCUGCUGUGAAAACUCGAGGCUUAACCUCGAGAUGUCGGCGGAAACCAUCUGGCUAGAGUCCGGAAGAGGAGAGUGGAAUUCCUGGUGUAGCGGUGAAAUGCGCAGAUAUCAGGAAGAACACCAGUGGCGAAGGCGGCUCACUGGCCCGGUUACUGACGCUGAGGUGCGAAAGCGUGGGGAGCAAACAGG